CACUCAGCCAAACAAACAGUACAUAGAAUACCACUGGAACGUGGGUGCCUUAGGUAGCACAGUACAUUAAAAAUAAAACUUUAUCGGGAUUAAAAUACAUUUGAUAAUCCGAUAACAUUAUUUUAAAUUUGCAAUUAUUGUCUAUGCCGUGAGAGUGGCCAUUUUUUUCGAAAAAAAGUUGGAAGGGAAAAAGGUGAUACAUGUCAAAUGUUUCAAGGCUAUUGUGUGAUGAUUCCAUUUUUUUCGUACAACGUGAUAAAGAUUGCACAUAAAUAGUACAAUAACAAUUUAUAUAACGUCCAGUGAAGUGUUCAUCCGAUGCUCUGUAUCCAGGACGUGGUAUUUUACGAGUGACAACAACAUAAAGUUAUCAAAACAUGGGUUAUUACUGUACGGUCCCACAGUGUACGUCUCUAGCCGGCAAGACGAAGAAUGUAAAGUUCCACAGAUUCCCGCGGGACGUGACUAUGGCGGAUAAGUGGAACGAUAUACUGAAACGCGGGAAGCCUUACACCAAAUAUUCUAAAGUAUGCAGUCUUCAUUUUACGCAAGCCGACUAUAAUGUGACUACAAUGGGUAAGAAUAAAGGCCAGUGGAAGACGUUAAGCAAAGACGCGGUGCCAUCACAGAACCUGCCCAAGCUGAACCCAGAUGGCACAGUCAUGGUCAUCAGGAAAAGUCGCACGGUCAAAUACAGGGAGGUGAAGAAGGAAGAUAACUGCGAUAAGACAGACAAGUGGCCUUUGAAUACGAUACAUCACCAACAGAGUAUUCCCGCGCAGGACACAACAUUGCCCUGCGCCGAACAGCACGAUAUCAAUCUCGCCUACCGCUUACAAAAUUUAAACGCUCUCGCGAACAACAUUUCCCCACAACACCCGCAGCCUCGCCCCGCGGAUAUCCCCCAAAAUCAUUUGAGACCCAAAAAACAGGACGCUAUUAUGCAAACAGACCCAGUGAACUCCGAGGAGGAUGAUACACAACCCAACAACAGUUAUAACGAAGUAUCCGACAAAAUAUACGAAACCUACCAAAUAGACUUUAGGAAAGAAGAUUUUGAAAAGAAAUUCGAACCCAGAGACUACAGGAAGAGCUCUGAAGAUUACAUCCCACAGACUAACGAGGAAUACAACAAGGAGGCGGAAAAGUACGCGUUAGAAAGAAAAACUUUGUACGACAAAAUCGAUUAUCAGAAAGCUUUAGAUAGUGUAUAUCCGAAAAUUGGUGAGAUAUAUGGAAACCUUGAGAAAUAUCCGCGGCAAGAGUAUACGUAUCAGAACGGAUAUUCGGAUAGCGUAGAUAUGUUGCGCAACCAGCAACACAAUCUUCAGAUGUUGCAAGCGCAACAUAGGGUAACAGAGAACCAGAACUUUUUUAAUGAAAACCAAAUUAAGCAAGAAAUCGACAUACAGUUAGAAGACGAUAAAUAUUUGUAUGAGAGAACGAAGGAUCAGUUGGGGGAUGCAAACCCAAUGUACAAUGAAGGUCGAAGACUGGUGCAGCAGGAACGCAUCCUGGAACACAUACAGCAUCAGGUGAAGCAGGAGCCCGAGGGAAAUGGUUGUGAAAAUGUAUUACCACCCCAGACGAGUCCGUACUACCCACCUAACGGACAUGAAAAUGUAUCGACGGCGGGUUUCUACGAGUCGCUGCCGCGGCCCGGCCCCGAGCUGCUCAUCGCCAAACAGAACGCGCUCGCCGCACACACACAACUAUAAUACGAUGAAGAGACCGUUCUUCUACAGUGAGAGUCCGCCGUACAACGGCUCGCAGUUACUACACAGAUUUGAGAUAUAACGAGAAUUCUUCAGUGACGAGGGACAUUCCAAAGUUAAUAAAAAUAUAUAUACACUAUUAUUAUAUGUAAAGAAACAGAGUAUGGAAAAAAUUCUCUAAGCGGCGAUAAUCUCUGUAUGGGACGUUUUUUUAUAUCGUGAAAGGAAUAAUAUAUAUUUUUAAAAAGUAGUUGUAUGAGCAGUCUACAUUUUAAAGGCGUCUAGUGUGAAACGAUUUUGUUAGCCGGCAAAAUUAUGUCUAUCUGAGAUUGUUUUUUUUUUUAUUGAUGUUGCAAUAGAGUUUAUAGUGUAGAAGGUCGUGUGCAUAACGAUGGUGAGUAGUCAUCACCUCCUAAACAUAAAUUUAGGAAACGCUGGUUGUCGACCUUUUUGAUUUUUUUUUGUCUGAGAUGAAUCUGUCCGGGCAAUGACAAACAAUCGUUUCAGCCUAGACCGCUAUGAAGGUGCAGCCAAUAUCAUAAGUUAGGGUCGGCCAGAGACAAGAUUGUCCAGAGACUGUUUAUGCAUCAAAGUUUUAUGUGUUUGUAUGUGAUUUUGUCGAGGAUGUAAUGAUGGACAACAUUAUUUUUUAUGAAUAUAUAUUUUUUUAAUUUAAUAUUAAUAUUACGCAAUGAUUACUAUGACCGCUAUUAAUUUUUGUUUAAAAAAGCAAUUAUAUCAAAAAUGUGGUUCAGAAUUCUGAGCCUAAAUUAUUCUAGAGUUAAUUUUGGCCGCGGUCGGGGUCAUUUUGAGCCAGUGAAUUUCGUCAAUUGUUUUGCGAUGGAGUUACGUACAAGCACAUAGAAAUUGAAACACACAAAAUGUUGUACAAAAUGAAUAAAUUUUUUUAUAUGAAAAUAAUUAUGUAUAGACUAUUAUGCUUUUGUAUUCGUAAUGUGUACAGUUUUUAAUUCUUUUUUAUUAGCUUUUGAGUAAUGGUAGUGGGAUGGGCGUAUCACAAGAGGCGCGUGUUCGAAUACUGUAACUUGUUUUUUUUCUUUUGUAAAAAGUAUUUAGCACAUAUAAUAAUUAUUUAUUUUUUGUGCUACAAAGUCAAGAAAACUGAAAAUCGACAAUCAUAAUAUUUUUUUUUAUAUAUUUUUAUUAUUUUAAAUCAAUAUACGAUGUAUAUUUUUAUUUUUAUUUGUUGAAUAUUUUAAACUUUUAUUAUUAUUUUCAAGAAAUUUUGUAUUCUAGCUUGAAAAGCAAAAUCUAUUUUUCAUAUACGUCUUGCCAUUCAUUGUCGAUUUUUCUUUGUAAGAUAUAAAAAACGAACAAAAUAGUUACGAAUUUCGUCAUCGCGUCCCAUUAUUGACCCGUUUUGCGUAGCUGUGACAUCUAGGUGUAGUUUCUCGUUUUUUUUUAAGUGCGUUGCUCGGUUUAGUGCGAGUUCGAUUCCCGGCUGUUGCGAAGUACAGUUUUUAUUAAGCAGAGUCGUUUGUCUCUCUCUCGUCAAUUGAUUGCCUUUUAUAUUUUUAUAUAUUUAUAUUUCGUAAGUUACGUUGUUGCUAUAGAACUUUGGAGAGAUUUCUUUUAAAUUUUCUAGUAUUUAACAAAUUCGCUUUGGAAUACUGUUCCAGUACGCUGUUAUGCACCAUAGAUCACAUAUUCAUCAUCCAGGACAAAAAUCUCUAUCAUUAUUCAAUGAUGGCGGUAGAUUUACAUCACAAAGGCGAAAAUACUGUCAAAAAAUUAUAUAAUAUGUAUUCGAAUUGUGCCUAACUCUCCCAGAGAAACUUAAGGGCUAGGAGAGUACACACUAGUCUAGGUUCAUUAGUUCAUGUGAACACAGCAUAAGACGCUAUGAACAAAUCAAACAUAGCAUUAGCAACGUAACUUAUGGACACCCCAAAAUCGAUUGACGGGAGUCGAAAAAGCCAAACGAUGUUGUUGCCAUUUUUAAAAUAUAAAAUUGUAUUUUUUUCUUAUGUAAGUUAAAUCUCUCAAUAAGUCUUACACAUAAGUGCAAAAAAAAGUACGGUUAACAAAAAAAAUAAAACAAAAAAUAUCUGAUAUAUUUUCCACUGUUGUUUUUAGUUUGUUUUAUGUGUUUAUAUUUUUUUGUGUUUGAGAGUAUUGUCAGCUGUAUGAAAACUGAAAAAUAGCGACAUAGUAAGAUUAGUUGUCUCAUAUAUUGAUAACGGCUGGACCGUUUACGAUCAAUCAAAAAAUUGUGUGUAUGACGUACUUAUAUUCUCAAUUCAGCUCCAGAGAGCUCAAAGACGUUGCAAACCAAUGUGUUACGUGACAAUUAUCUCAAAUACACAAUAAUUUUGUAAAAAGCAAUUUAUAGUUACCAAUAUUAUUUUUUAAACUUCAUAGCCUUUAUGUUUUGUAUGGUGGGCUGUUUUUUAAUCACAAGUGUAUUGACCAUUUUUCCCCAUACAAAAAUGUAUGACAGUUACCAUAAAAUGUAUGUAGAUUUAAGCGUUGUUUACGGUUUAUGUAUCUAUUUUAUAUUGGAUUAAAGUAUCUAUAUGUGUUAAGUACGCCGUGGAAAGUACAAGGAACUUCUUUACAGAUGUCAGAUGUCAGUUUUAAAAUUGUUUUUUAUAAACAUAGACAAUAUUGACAAUACUGCCAUGAUCUCCAUCAUGCAAUUCAAUCCAACGUGGAUAUAAAUAUUUAAUAUAAAUUUAUAUUUGUGAUUUUAUUGAAAUUUAUAUGUUUUUAGUCAAAAUUUAACAUUGUAUUGCGACGGAUGUACGCGUCAAUUAUCGAUGGUCAUUUAUAUUUUUUAAUAUUUAUUUAUUGUAACUUAAAACCAUGGCCUAUUUUUUUGUUUGGGGAAAAUGAUGGCAAAGGAUAAACUAACAUGACAGCGUUGUGUGGUAUGGAAGAAUGAAUGUGUGAUAAAAAAACGAAUUUACGUGGCAUUUGUGUGGGAUGGCGUACGGAAAUACACGAUAUAAUUUCUUGUUAGAUGUUUAAGAUUGUCGUACAAUUCGUCACAAUAUUAUUAUGUUAAACAGCGAAAUUUUUUUUCGAUGAAAGAUGUCUUGCCAAAGUUUUUUUUCGUUUAAAUUGUUGAUAAAAAAAAAUUUUUUGUCGCCUUGUGAAAACAAUGUUUAGUUUAAGAUAAAGUUUUUAUGAAAGUGACUGAAUAUUAUGUUCUUUUUUGGUGCUCGUUUCAUAGUCAUUUGUUGUUUUUCUAUUCUCUUUCCGAAUUCUAUUGCAUUUCUAUUUUGUGGGUAUUUUUUGUAUUGUGCGAUAAACAUACAGAUUUUUUUUAAUCUAUUACGUCCAUUGGACGAGAAUAUACGUCAUGAAAUUACUCAUUGACUCGUGACGUAUAUAUCCGUCUUGAAAAUGAAUAGUGACGUAUUGUGUCAUUGAUUUUUUAGGUAAGAGGACCUGUGUGGACCAUCGGUCUGUAUGUUUUUCACAAAUAAUAAAUAUGUAUGCAGCGAUCAGCGCACAUUUAGUAUGAAUCGCUAGAUAUUUUCGUUCGAUUUAUAUAUUAUUAAAGUAUGUAUAUAUUUUUUUUACAAAUACGAUACCGUAGCUGGGAAGAGCGGUGAUGGAGUUUAAAAUAAUUAACAAAGUAAUAGGUUAUGGAGGGAAAGUUGAAUAAUUAGAACACCUGAUAUUUGUAAUCACAGUAAUAUAAGAAAGAUCAGGGAAGGCGUUUAACCAAGUCGAUGUGGGACACUUGUGCAGCCUUGUCAUUGUACAGAGUAUUUGACAGUAGGAUGAUAAUUUUUUUAUACACAGAGCGCAAUAAUUUAUUUUUUAAAAGCAAAAUUGCAGUUGAUAAAAAGUACAGCAAAAUAAAUUAAAGCUUUAAUAAAUUUUUGGAAAGAUACAGAAUAAAAUAAUAUAUUAUCAUAGUUUCCAUAUUUCUUUAUGGUUCUUCACUAAAUUUUCAUUUGUCUAAAUACAAGAUGUGUUUGAAAUUAAACAAAUUAAUUAUUACAAAGAAAUCCUAAAAUAACCUACUUCAAAAGUUUUUCAGUAUAUCAAUAUUUAUGAUAAAUAAAAUUGCACCACUUUUAUACAAUAAACGUAUUUUUAAUAUUUUAAUAAAUAAUUAAAUUGAGCAAGCGCCUAUACUGCAGAAAUUCCCGCCAAUAACCUCUUAAAAAGUUAUUUGACAGAUCCGCCAUUUUCCCAAAGACCGCCAUCUUGUUAUUUUUCCCGCCAUCCCGGCUACGGUUAGUUUAGGGGUUGGGUGAGGAGACGCUGGGGCGCGAUUGGAACUACGGCGAAUGUGGCGCGUCCCUUCAGACCAAAGCUGUGAAUAUUAUUAUGAAAGUUGAUUAGGGUUAAGAAAUAAAGUAUGCUUUUUACAG
rnacentral:misc_RNA from 1 species